rnacentral:SRP_RNA from 1 species
GCUGGGCGUGGUGGCGGGUGCCUGUAAUCCCAGUUACUUGGGAGGCUGAGGCAGCAGAAUUGCUUGUGCCCGGGAGGCAGAGGCUGCAGUGAGCUGAGAUCUUGCCACUGCACUCCAGCCCGGGCGACAGAGCGAGACUCUGUCUCAA